rnacentral:lncRNA from 1 species
UUCGCCUGCGGCUGUGGGGAUUGUGGGGUGGAUGGUCCGUGCGCCUGUGCCCUUUGUUAUGAAAACAGGCUCCUAGCUCCUAGAGGUUUCAACGAUGGAGCUGGUGCCACCACCAGAACGCGUGACCCUGCCAGCCGGCGUGAACCUGGUGCAGUGUUUCGUCUGCACGGCAAUGUUCUACACCCAGGAGGAGCUGGAGAAGCAUGUCAAGCUUCACAGGAAGACAGACAUUGUGCGGGCCGUCAUCGAGCACAGGGGCGAGCGGCACCACCGGCCGUCGGGCAGCUGCCUGCGGC